UAACAAGGAUUCCCCUAGUAACUGCGAGUGAAGCGGGAUAAGCUCAAAUUUAAAAUCUGGUAGCUUCGCUGCCCGAGUUGUAAUCUGGAGAAGUGCUUUCCGUGCUGGACCGUGUACAAGUCUCUUGGAACAGAGCGUCAUAGAGGGUGAGAAUCCCGUCUUUGACACGGACUACCAGUGCUUUGUGAUGCGCUCUCAAAGAGUCGAGUUGUUUGGGAAUGCAGCUCAAAAUGGGUGGUAAAUUCCAUCUAAAGCUAAAUAUUGGCGAGAGACCGAUAGCGAACAAGUACCGUGAGGGAAAGAUGAAAAGAACUUUGGAAAGAGAGUUAAACAGUACGUGAAAUUGCUGAAAGGGAAACGCUUGAAGUCAGUCGCGUUGGCCGGAACUCAGCCUGGCUUUGGCUUGGUGCAUUUUCUGGUUGACGGGUCAGCAUCAGUUUUGAUUGUCGGAUAAUGGUUGGGGGAAUGUGGCAUCUUCGGAUGUGUUAUAGCCCUCAGUCGCAUACGAUGGUUGGGACUGAGGAUCUCAGCACACCUUUAUGGUCGGGGUUCGCCCACGUUUGUGCUUAGGAUGCUGGCAUAAUGGCUUUAAACGAC
rnacentral:rRNA from 1 species